GAUGAACGCUGGCGGCGUGCCUAAUACAUGCAAGUCGAGCGAACAGAUAAGGAGCUUGCUCCUUUGACGUUAGCGGCGGACGGGUGAGUAACACGUGGGUAACCUACCUAUAAGACUGGGAUAACUUCGGGAAACCGGAGCUAAUACCGGAUAAUAUUUCGAACCGCAUGGUUCGAUAGUGAAAGAUGGUUUUGCUAUCACUUAUAGAUGGACCCGCGUCGUAUUAGCUAGUUGGUAAGGUAACGGCUUACCAAGGCGACGAUACGUAGCCGACCUGAGAGGGAGAUCGGCCACACGGGAACUGAGACACGGUCCAGACUCCUACGGGAGGCAGCAGUAGGGAAUCUUCCGCAAUGGACGAGAGCCUGACGGAGCAGCGCCGCGUGAGUGAUGAAGGUCUUCGGAUCGGAAAACUCUGUUAUUAGGGAAGAACAUACGUGUAAGUAACUGUGCACGUCUUGACGGUACCUAGUCAGAAAGCCACGGCUAACUACGUG
rnacentral:rRNA from 1 species